rnacentral:rRNA from 1 species
UACAGAGGGGGCAAGCGUUGUUCGGAAUUACUGGGCGUAAAGGGCUCGUAGGUGGCCAACUAAGUCGGACGUGAAAUCCCUCAGCUUAACUGGGGAACUGCGUCCGAUACUGGAUGGCUUGAGUUUGGGAGAGGGAUGCGGAAUUCCAGGUGUAGCGGUGAAAUGCGUAGAUAUCAAGAGGAACACCAGUGGCGAAGGCGAGUCCCUGGACAACACCUGACACUGAGGCACGAAAGCUAGGGGAGCAAACAGG